UACGUAGGGGGCUAGCGUUGUCCGGAAUCAUUGGGCGUAAAGCGCGUGUAGGCGGUCCGGUAAGUCCGCUGUGAAAGUCGGGGGCUCAACCCUCGGAUGCCGGUGGAUACUGUCGGGCUUGAGUACGGAAGAGGCGAGUGGAAUUACUGGUGUAGCGGUGAAAUGCGCAGAUAUCAGGAGGAACACCAAUUGCGAAGGCAGCUCGCUGGGACGUUACUGACGCUGAGACGCGAAAGCGUGGGGAGCAAACAGG
rnacentral:rRNA from 1 species